UGGAACUCAGCCAUGUCAAUCAGUGCAGAUUCGAUUGGCCUCUCGGCAGCUGGCUUGAGCCGAUUUUUUUUUGCUCGGAGCUGUAGACUCUUCCAUCUUGAGGCUUCCCGCAACCUGGGUGUGGUACAGACUUGAGUGAGGGUAGAAUGUUCUGCCUCAAAGUACCCAUGAGGACAGAAGAGAGCAUCGGAUCCCCUUAGACUGGAGGUAUAGCGGACUGCAGCUGCCUAAUGCAGGUGUCGGGAACCAGCUGGUCCUCUGAAAGAGCAAUAUGUGCCCUUAACCCCGAGCUAUCUCUCCAAGUCCCUAAAAUAAAUUCAGUUGAUUUGC